rnacentral:rRNA from 1 species
GACGAACGCUGGCGGCAUGCCUAACACAUGCAAGUCGAGCGAUACGUUCGGGCCUAGUGGCGCACGGGUGCGUAACGGGUUGGAACCUGCGCUUAGGUUCGGACUCACUCCCAGAAAGGGGUGCUACUGGCGGAAAAUGUCUACGUACCAACGUUUUAUCGCCUUUGGAUGGGCACGCGUUGGAUUAGCUAGUUGGUAGGGUAAAAGCAUACCAAGGUGACGAUCCAUAGCUGGUCUGAGAGGAGGAUCAGCAACGCCUGGACUGGGGCCCGGCCCAGACUCGGACGCAAGGGAGGAGAGUGGAAUAUAGGACAAGGGACGAAGGUCUGGUGAAGCCAUGCCGCGGGAGUGAUGAAGGCCUUAGGGAAGUAAUGCUCGUUUACCCGAGAUGAUAAUGACGGUACCGGGAGAAGAAGCACCGGCUAACUACGUG